rnacentral:misc_RNA from 1 species
GAUGAAGAACGCAGCGAAAUGCGAUAAGUAGUGUGAAUUGCAGAAUUCAGUGAAUCAUCGAAUCUUUGAACGCACAUUGCGCCCCUUGGUAUUCCGAGGGGCAUGCCCGUUCGAGCGUCAUUAUACCCCUCAAGCCUAGCUUGGUGUUGGGGCCUGCUGUUACCGGCAGCCCUUAAAAUCAGUGGCGGUGCCAUCUGGCUCUAAGCGUAGUAAUACUUCUCGCUACAGGGUCCCGGUGGAUGCUUGCCAUCAACCCCUAAUUUUCUAUGGUUGACCUCGGAUCGGGUAGGGAUACCCGCUGAACUUAAGCAUAUCAAUAAGCGGAGGA